rnacentral:rRNA from 1 species
AACGAACGCUGGCGGCAGGCUUAACACAUGCAAGUCGAGCGCCCCGCAAGGGGAGCGGCAGACGGGUGAGUAACGCGUGGGAAUCUACCCAUCUCUACGGAAUAACGCAUGGAAACGUGUGCUAAUACCGUAUACGUCCUUCGGGAGAAAGAUUUAUCGGAGAUGGAUGAGCCCGCGUCGGAUUAGCUAGUUGGUGGGGUAAAGGCCUACCAAGGCGACGAUCCAUAGCUGGUCUGAGAGGAUGAUCAGCCACACUGGGACUGAGACACGGCCCAGACUCCUACGGGAGGCAGCAGUGGGGAAUAUUGGACAAUGGGCGCAAGCUUGAUCCAGCCAUGCCGCGUGGGUGAUGAAGGCCCUAGGGUUGUAAAGCUCUUUCACCGGUGAAGAUAAUGACGGUAACCGGAGAAGAAGCCCCGGCUAACUUCGUGCCAGCCGCCGCAGUAAGAC